AACGAACGCUGGCGGCAGGCUUAACACAUGCAAGUCGAACGCCCCGCAAGGGGAGUGGCAGACGGGUGAGUAACGCGUGGGAACAUACCCUUUUCUACGGAAUAGCUCUGGGAAACUGGAAUUAAUACCGUAUACGCCCUACGGGGGAAAGAUUUAUCGGGGAAGGAUUGGCCCGCGUUGGAUUAGCUAGUUGGUGGGGUAAAGGCCUACCAAGGCGACGAUCCAUAGCUGGUCUGAGAGGAUGAUCAGCCACAUUGGGACUGAGACACGGCCCAAACUCCUACGGGAGGCAGCAGUGGGGAAUAUUGGACAAUGGGCGCAAGCCUGAUCCAGCCAUGCCGCGUGAGUGAUGAAGGCCUUAGGGUUGUAAAGCUCUUUCACCGAUGAAGAUAAUGACGGUAGUCGGAGAAGAAGCCCCGGCGAACUUCGU
rnacentral:rRNA from 1 species